AUUGAACGCUGGCGGCAGGCCUAACACAUGCAAGUCGAACGGUAACAGGAAACAGCUUGCUGUUUCGCUGACGAGUGGCGGACGGGUGAGUAAUGUCUGGGAAACUGCCUGAUGGAGGGGGAUAACUCCUGGAAACGGUAGCUCAUACCGCAUAACGUCGCAAGACCAAAGAGGGGGACCUUUGGGCCUCUUGCCAUCGGAUGUGCCCAGAUGGGAUUAGCUAGUAGGUGGGGUAACGGCUCACCUAGGCGACGAUCCCUAGCUGGUCUGAGAGGAUGACCAGCCACACUGGAACUGAGACACGGUCCAGACUCCUACGGGAGGCAGCAGUGGGGAAUAUUGCACAAUGGGCGCAAGCCUGAUGCAGCCAUGCCGCGUGUAUGAAGAAGGCCUUCGGGUUGUAAAGUACUUUCAGCGGGGAGGAAGGGAGUAAAGUUAAUACCUUUGCUCAUUGACGUUACCCGCAGAAGAAGCACCGGCUAACUCCGUGCCAGCCGCCGCCGUAA
rnacentral:rRNA from 1 species